rnacentral:rRNA from 1 species
AUUGAACGCUGGCGGCAUGCCUUACACAUGCAAGUCGAACGGUAACAGGUCUUCGGAUGCUGACGAGUGGCGAACGGGUGAGUAAUACAUCGGAACGUGCCUAGUAGUGGGGGAUAACUACUCGAAAGAGUGGCUAAUACCGCAUGAGAUCUACGGAUGAAAGCAGGGGAUCGCAAGACCUUGUGCUACUAGAGCGGCCGAUGGCAGAUUAGGGAGUUGGUGGGAUAAAAGCUUACCAAGCCGACGAUCUGUAGCUGGUCUGAGAGGACGAUCGGCCACACUGGGACUGAGACACGGCCCAGACUCCUACGGGAGGCAGCAGUGGGGAAUUUUGGACAAUGGGCGAAAGCCUGAUCCAGCAAUGCCGCGUGCAGGAUGAAGGCCUUCGGGUUGUAAACUGCUUUUGUACGGAACGAAAAGCCCCGGGUUAAUACCCUGGGGUCAUGACGGUACCGUAAGAAUAAGCACCGGCUAACUACGUGCCAGCCGCCGGCGUAA